ensembl:lncRNA
CUGGAGUGGAGUUGUAGUUGUGUGAGCAGCCUGAAGGCUGGAACAAAGCUAGAACAACUUACCCUCACAUUGUAUGUCUUGCUUCCUGUCUGCAAACAUCUCAAAAUGAUCCAGCCAAACUAACUGCCAGCACUUUGUCAUCCGCUGGCUCUCCGAGAUGUCCACCCUGUUUCUUGAUUGGACAGAAGACUGAAUCACAUUCCUGGAGGCGUCGAGGGGACUCUGCCCGCUGCGCAUGCUUCAGUGUCCUGCUCUUCAACAUGGCUCCUGACCUCCUCGCUUCGCAUCCAAGUCACCCGGGGCAAAAAUGUGCGUUGUCAUGGUGAUCAUUAGCAAAAAAACGCUGGAGAAGAAGCGCGUCGAAGAUGUAACGUCCAAGUGUCUGGAAAUAGGCCAGCUGCGGGAGCCGACCAUGAGCCAGGGAACGGCCCUC